GCACUGGUGGUUCACUAGUAGAAUUCUUAUCUUUCAUGCAGGAGAUUCGAGUUCAAUUCCUGGCCAUUGUG
rnacentral:tRNA from 1 species